AUGGUUAUUAAGUUGAGUAAAGAUAGGCUAAGAUAAUUCAGUUCCAGAUCUACAACACUUCACUCCUCCAUCACACAAGGUCUAAUUAUUCAACCAGCCUUGGUGAAUCUUUAACACAGGUGAGGUUCUCUUCCUGGAAACUUCCAUCCCACAGUCUUCUGUGGUAUGUCAGAACAUUUGACAUCGAGGGAAGCAAGGCAGAAUGAAGGUUGGAGAUAACGCUUGACAAUGGGCGACCCUCUUAUGCUGACUGAAGCUUGGCAACCUUCAUAGAAUUUCCUGGCAUGGUCUCCAUUAGCAGAGUGGUUCCCUUCCGGUGCCUGGGCGGUGAGCCCCGGUAAAUGUUCGCUUUCUGAGGACCGCUCUGCUCUUCUGCUUCAUUCUCUCAGUGAACCUCUUUCUCAUCCACUGAUUGUCUAAAAUUACCAGAAAACACAAAAGCAAGAAAGGGAACGGGGAAGAGAUGAAUGACAGCAUAUGUCUGCGUAUUUUAGAAAAUGUAGCCCACAAAAGUACUUGCUGAAGUAGGGCAGGGCAUGGGAGUACCUUGUAGACCACACACGUGAAAAUUACUGAUGGCCAAGCAUAGAGUUCUGCAUUACAGACAGAAAUGGUUUUCUUUUAUUCCAGGAAAGCUACAAUGGAGGGACCUACCAGAUGAUGAAAAGUCAUCGGUCUUUCUGAAGUCUGCUGAGCAGAUAUGGAGUAAAAAAGAAAGAUACAGUCACUUGAACUUUCUUUUAUCCCAAAGGAUAUUUGUACUGUUGGUGGUACAAACCCCUCAAGGAAAUGAAUAACAAGUUAGAAGACAGCUUAUGGAUGAAGAGCACAUGUCCUCAAGGGUUGCUUCAUCCACAUAACCUCACUCAGUGUGUCAGGUGACUCUAUGUAAAAAUGUCUGCAAGUGGAUUAACAGUUAGAAUACCUUUGCGUUCUAAUAAGGGUAUACCGGGUAAAUUUUGAUGACCCCUGCUGUUGGCUUUCCAUUUUCUGGACUGUGGGCCAAACACAGAACUUCUAUGAAGACAACCAACAUGCCAUCAAAGUCUCAACUUUCCUGGGAGUGCAUUCUGUUCUCUGUGGACCUGUUAUUACUAUCCAUCACAUUUCUUGUGGAUAUCUCUUGACUUUAUGAGUCCUGUCUCCUAUUACAUUGUGUGAUAAUCUUCAGGGUAAUUCAGAUAAACCGUUAUUUGGAUGACUCCAAACAACCGUGUAUUUUUAUGCAUGUGACAAUUGUCCUUGUGCAUCCUCUUCUAUGGCUCCCACCCCUCCAUGGUCCUACCAGGAACUUCCUCUUCCUUUCACUUCAUUUGUUACUUCAGGCCUAGAAUCCAUCCAGAA
rnacentral:lncRNA from 1 species